rnacentral:rRNA from 1 species
CCUACGGGUGGCAGCAGUGAGGAAUAUUGGUCAAUGGACGAGAGUCUGAACCAGCCAAGUAGCGUGAAGGAUGACUGCCCUAUGGGUUGUAAACUUCUUUUAUAUGGGAAUAAAAUGGUCCACGUGUGGGAUUUUGUAUGUACCGUAUGAAUAAGGAUCGGCUAACUCCGUGCCAGCAGCCGCGGUAAUACGGAUGAUCCGAGCGUUAGUCGGGUUUAGUUGGUUUAAAGGGAGCGUAGGGUGAUUGUUAAGGCAGUGGUGAAAGUUUACGGCUCAAACGUAAAAUGGCAUGUGAAACUGGCAGUCUUGAGUACAGUAGAGGUGGGCGGAAUUCGUGGUGUAGCGGUGAAAUGCUUAGAUAUCACGAAGAACGCCGAUUGCGAAUGCAGCUCACUGGACUGCAACUGACACUGAGGCUCGAAAGUGUGGGUAUCAAACAGGAUUAGAUACCCUUGUAGUC